UACGGAGGGUGCAAGCGUUAAUCGGAAUUACUGGGCGUAAAGCGUGCGCAGGCGGUUUUGUAAGUCUGAUGUGAAAUCCCCGGGCUCAACCUGGGAAUUGCGUUGGAGACUGCAAGGCUAGAAUCUGGCAGAGGGGGGUAGAAUUCCACGUGUAGCAGUGAAAUGCGUAGAGAUGUGGAGGAACACCGAUGGCGAAGGCAGCCCCCUGGGUCAAGAUUGACGCUCAUGCACGAAAGCGUGGGGAGCAAACAGG
rnacentral:rRNA from 1 species